UUCCAGUGACUCCAGCAGCAGUAGCGAGGAAUCGUCUGAGUCAUCGAGCAGCGAGUGGAGUGACUCUUCGGAGAGCAGUGAGGAGACGACUACGAGCGAAACGACCACAGCGGAACUGACAACCACAGCGGAUGAGACAACCACAGCGGAUGGGACAACCACAGCGGAAGAGACAACCACAGCGGAAGAGACAACCACAGCGGAAGAGACAACCACAGCGACCCCUUGAGUAUAAAGCUCGAGUUACCCCAUCAGACGUAACAUCGUGCAGAGGAAAUGACAUCGGCCGUCCCUGAUUGACCCUUAAGUACCGACCCUGACAACUGGCCAGAACCUGACCUUCAAUCGGCCCUUCAGCUUUAUUGCAAGAUAUUGCGAAUAUAUUCAAUUUGUUCACAUAUCCUUUAAUAAAUUAUACCAUAAGCAA